GACCUGCGGUGUUGUCUGUGUCAACUCCAACAGAAGCCUGCGCCAGGACUGCAGGAGCACUGGAAAGAGGACACCUGCUCUGCAGCAGCCCCGUUCAAAUAAGUAGGAACCGAUGGCUGGGCUCAAAGAGGGAAGGAGAAGUCUCUCCGGCGCUGGACAGAGUGGAGCUGCAAUGUUCCCGUGCACGUGUGGCUCUAGAGUCCUGAGGCGUAUGUCCAUCAACACAGGCCAUGAUCCCUCUGCCAGAAAAACCAUCUUCCCUGAAGGUACUACCAUGACUUGCAUGGAAAAAAAAGAGACAGAAGAGAAGAAAAUAAGGCCAAGAGGCACAACGGGCCAGGCCAUUUCUCUACCCCUCAGAAAACUCUCCCAACAAUAUUAAAAUUGCUGAAACUCAGCCUGCAAUGUGACCAGGCUCCCUGAAAAUGGAGUUCAUAGGAGAGGAAGCGAAACUAUUGGC